AUAUGGUAGUUAGUGAUGAUGAUGGCUAAUGGUGGUGCUUUUGAAUGCGACUAGAGGCAGUGGUUGGUGGCGAUUUUGGUUGAUGGUGGUGGUUCUGAAUAGUAGCUUGUGGUGAUUGGUAGUGAUGGCUUUAUGGUUGAGGAUGGUGGUGGUGGGUGGUAAUAAUUAAUAAUGGUGGGUAGUGGUGGUUGUGAUUGUGAUUGAGAAAGGUGGUGGUAGUUUAUAAGGGCGCAGCGCCGGCUAUGGUUGUUGAUGGUGAUGAGGUGAUUAGUUGUGGUAGUUGAGGUGGAUGAGUUUGUGGUUGUGGUUGUGGUUGAGAAUAAUGGUGGUGGGGAUGGUGGGUGGUGGUCGUCGAUAAUGGUGAUGACUGUGAUCGAGGAUGGGGGUGGUGGUGGUGGUAGUUAAGCAUGGUGGUGGUGGGUGGCAUGGUGAUAGUUGAUAAUGGUAGGCGGUGGUGACAAUUAAUAAUGAAUGUGGAUGAUAGCAUCUUAAUGAAAUUAAGACUUUGUUAUAGAUCUUAAUCAUACAGACCUAUUCAAACCCAUUAAUUGGUUGUGAAUAAAAAAACAAACACACUUAUGAUUAAGAUCUGAAUGAUCAAGAUUUAGACUUUAAAAACAAAAGUACUUAAUGUCUUAGAUAUGAAGAUUCAGACCUCCAUUAAGUGCAAACAAAUGAAGCCUUAUUAUAUCUUAUGUUUUUUUUAUAGCUAAAAGAUAUAUUUAUCAAUCAACAAUCAACUUCAAGAUCAUCAAAUUUCUUAUUCCUUUGAAAUAAGCUAAAUGGUGUCUGUCCUAACUAGUGAAAAUUAAGAAUAAUGUAUCAAUUGAUGAUAUUACCAAAUUUCAAGGUUAAGGUGGCCAUUUGACAAGAACUCCACAUAGUAAUUUCAGUGUUUGGUUGGCAGAAAACAUGUAUCUUCUCCCUCAUUUACAAGUAACAAAACAACAAAUAAGAUCCUUCUGCAUGAUAUCACUACGUAAUGUUCUCCAGGCUAUAAUACAACAGAAACCCAGCAAUUAACCAAGCAAGUCUCGAGAUCCCACAAAAUUAAGAUAUCUAACGACCAAUCAUAUGUAAACAAUUUCCAAAUCAAUAAUUUUUCAGAGUCGGAAUAAGAAGAGGGAAAGCAAAAUAUUUACCAAUUAAGAAGCACCAACGAUGAUGUUAUUGAUAGGAAUGAAAACCAACUUCACGAAAAAUCCAACAAAUCCCAUCACAACAAAACCAAUCGCCGUACGAGUAGCAACCUUGGUAAAUUCUACACCACAAACAUUCAAAAUUAGUCAAUAAGAUUCUGAGACAAGUAAAAUCCCUAGAUCUACAUCCAUUAAUAUCAAUCAAUCAGCUGUGCUUCAAUUCUAAACUAAACAUAUAUAUAUCCAAUACCUUUACGAUCAGGCUUGUGACAUCUUUUGACGAGCCUAACGCUGUCUUUGGCGAAAUCUCUAAGAGGAUCGAACACAGAAUCGAGGGCGUCCAUUCGAAUUGGAUCUGAUCUGAAAGAAUAAGCAGAUUAGGGUUUCUCUUUUGGAUCUGAAUUGGGUGAAACGGAGAUGAAUGAAAUGAGCUUCGGAUCGAUACAAAUGAAGAAAUAUCGUCGAGAGAAUUCGGUUUUGACACGGAGAGAGAGGAUAGCGAUUGGUGGUCAAAGCCGAGUGACGUUAGCUGAAAUGCCUAAAUUACCCCUUGCACUUGUCUAGUUGUUAUGCGGAUCUUUAUAACGUACCAACUUAAAAGGAAAAUAGGAAAAUGACACUGUUUAAUCACUCCAAAAAUAAUAGCUGAAAAAUUAUAUAGUUUUUGUAUGUUAUAUAUAAAAAUUAUAUAAAUUUAUAUAUAUUUUCGGUUACCGAAUAUAUAUAUAAUUUCUGUCAUUGACCAAAAGUGAUAAUACUCAUACAAUCAAACCUUUAUAUAACAGAUUCGUUUGUUCCGAUAUUUUUUGGCUACUAGUGUUACGCAUUGUGCGUGUACACUAUCUCAAUGAGUAAAAGACUUUUAAAAAAAAAUAUAGAUAUUAUAUUAAAUAUUGUGUUUGAGUUAUAAAAUAAAGUAUAUAUUUCUAAAAAUGAUGAAUAUUGAUCCUAUAUUUAUCACUCAAUAAAAAAAUAAACUACUCCAAUAGAAGUUCUCAAUCUUCGGUCAAUAUAUUCAAUUGAAAUUUAUUCUUGUUAUAAUUUUAUUUGAUAUAGAAUAGAUAUAUAUUAGUGCUUUCCAUGUGUCAUGUUAGUCAUUCUAAAACUUAUAUAAAUAUCUCUCUUUCUCAUCUUUGCAAUUUUGAAAUUCAUUAGGUAAUUAAAGUAUUUUUAGAUACAAUUUGUUUAUCUUACUUUAAUAAAUAGUAACGGUUAAAUAUAUUUUUAAUUUUUUAUUUUUUAUUUUUCACUACAUGUAAAAUAUUGUUAUAUAAUCUAGUCGUUAAAAAAUGAGCAAACUCAUUCUAAAUCAUAAAAAAAACUUGAAUAUAUAAACAUUUUUAAUGAUUCUUGACGUACAUAAAAGAAUAGACAAAACACUGAAUCUAGAAAUCUUCUUACAAUUUUGCAAUAAAAACUUGGAAAGAACUUAAAUUUACCGCGGAGAUGAAUCCUUGGCAACAAUAAUAUGGAAUGUACUAUAGUAAUAUUAAAUAAUUCAAACAAGGAAAAAACUUAUAUAAUGUUAAGUUUAAUUAAUUUUAAAGUUCGAUAUAUUACGACUUCCUACUUAAUUCAAAUAAAAAAUAACUUUUAAAGCAAAUUUUUAAUUGAUUUUAAAGUCCUAAAUAUUAGUCCACAAAUAGAUUUCUUCUAAAAUAAAAAUAAAAAAAUCUUCUAAAAACAAAGCAAAAUGGCAAUCCCUAAUUAUCAAACAAAAGAAAUAAGAAAGAUGAUCUUUUAGCUAAUGAUCGUUCAUGUGUGGCUAUAAUCUAUUCCUAUUUAGAUUAGGACUUUUAAAAGUAUAACAACCAGAAGGGUAUUUUUAGUUAAUUUAGGCAAAGGAUUUAUAUGAAUAGAAUUUACUCGAUUUAAAUUCCUAAAUAUUAGGAGUUUUUACCUAAUUUCAAUACGGAAAUGAUUUAAUUUAUAGGCCUAAAUAUUAGAAAAAUUAAUUAAAUGACUAUUUUGUCUAGUGUGAAAUUAAUUUUUGAAGGGUAAAAAAGGCGAACGACAUUUCACUAAGGUCUUUGUGCUUUUAAUAUAGUAUAAAUUAUAGUGAAGUCUUGUUAUAGAAGAGAUAUAUUAUAUCAUAAUAUAAAAAUCGAUUCCAAAAAAACUUAAUAUUUAUAGGAAAUAACUGUUAUGUAGGGAUAUUGUUAUAGAAAUGUCUACUAUACUUAUCCAAAUUCUCCAAAGCUUUUAUAGCAUGCAAUAAAAGUUUUUCCUCGAUAAAAUUGUUUUUCCAAGUUUCAUUGUGUUAACUUAGGGUACGUUUGGCCAUAAUUUUUUUUUUUUUUUGAAAUCAGUAUUUGGCCAUAAAAUUUUCAUUUCAGAUCACUCACAAAAAUUUAAAAACAAUCCAAAAUUGUAUUCAUGCCCAAACACAACUCUAAUUUUCAAAUACCAUUUUCACUUGAAAAUAAAAAUUCACAUUUUCUUAAAAGAUUUUUACAAUUCUUAUGUCCAAAUGCCCGAUGCACGCUUACCUAAAGGAAAUAUCUUAUCCCAAAUUGGUAAGGACUUGCGUCAUAGAUGGACGAAAAUUGUUAUGUCUCUAACUAUCUUAGAAAUCUUGAUUUUUCGUUCUCUUGUUUCAAUUAACAUUUGAUGUAGUCAACAUUAAUUUAGUGUAUAAUGUGGAAUUUGUAAUUCAAAUUACAUGCUUAAAAGGUAAAGAUGACCCCAAUCAUUCGUCCAAGGAAGGGCUCGUCCCCAGCUAGUCCAUUCACCAUCACCAUUCACCAAGUCCCUUCACUUCGAUACAUUCUUUUUGUAUCUCUCGCCAAAAUAAAUUAAAAAAAUGCAUCUUCAUGAUUGAAAAUAGCAGCUGGUGUCUCGCAAUAUGAUUAAUUUCUCCUGACAUGUUUGAGAAUUUUGUAAGCAUCUCCAGCAACUAUUUGGGACUCGACUCGGUAAAUUCGACUACUGCUAGUGCAAGUCAGGGCAUUAGUCUUGACCUUUUAGCGGUUAUCCUCAAGAAAGAUGGUGGUUCCACCCCCAUUUAUGGUAGAAAUUUGAGCAGAGUACUGUGUUUUAAGAACACAAGCAGAUUGCAAAGGGGAGGUAUUCGGAGACAAGAGUUCAAAAAGACAGCAAUGAUACUUAUCUUGACAAGUCAUCAAUAAUGAAUUUCCCAUAUAAUGUACUCGAAAUGAAAAAAUAGACAAGUAUAUGAAGUGUCACAAUGCUUCAGGGUCAAACUUGAUUGUACUAUCUUUGAAAUGCAGAUAGAAAUAUUAGAAAUUGUCAAUUAGAAAUAGAAAGUUGAAUCCCUAGAAAGCUCUCAACUUUCAAGAGCCAUUCAAAAAUUACAUUCAACAAAAUAAAGUAAUUUUGACCUGCAUGGUAUGUUGAGAAAGAGGUAAACCCGAAAAUAAAGAAAUAAAAAAUAACAAAUUUAAACGUGGAAAACCCUUCAAAUCGAAGGUAAAAGUCAUGGGAUCACAAAGAUCCAAAAAGCUCCACNNNNNNNNNNNNNNNNNNNNNNNNNNNNNNNNNNNNNNNNNNNNNNNNNNNNNNNNNNNNNNNNNNNNNNNNNNNNNNNNNNNNNNNNNNNNNNNNNNNNNNNNNNNNNNNNNNNNNNNNNNNNNNNNNNNNNNNNAAAACAAAUCAAUUGAAGAAGGAGGAGAAGUCACAAAAUGGAGCUGUUGUUCGGGGCUCGAAAUCAGAUGCUACGGACUCCAAAUCCAAUCUUCACCGUUCAAAUCAAAGAUCAAGAUGCUACGAACACUCAAACAAAAUUUCAUCCCAAUCUAACGGUUAACGAAUAGUAAAACGUAAUUUGACUAGUCAUAACAAAAAUCUGCAGCAAAACAAAUACUUUUCUUCUCUCUUCUUUCUUGAUGAAAGCUCUCUCAAAAAUCACUCUUAUGUGCUAAAGUCUUUCAAAGACUAGUACCAAUAAGUAUAGAAUAAUUCUCCAAGGUUGUCCUAUUUAUAGAUAAUGAGUGGUACUUUCUCUUAAAGCCAAAACCAACUCUACAUAGGAAUAAAAACCAAAUCCAAUUCUGAAUAGGAAUGGAAACCAAAAGAGAAUAAGAUUAGGCCUUUGGAUGGACAACAUGGGCAUGAGCCCCAACAAACAACCCCCUCCAGCCAAGGGGCCAAAUAUGUCUUCAAGUAGAGGAACUAUCGAGAGGCUUCAUGCCUGCCAAUUUUCUGCAAAACGUGUGCUUAUCUGCAUGCUUAACUACCAAGUCUUCAGACUGCUCCAUAUAAAUCUCCUCGUCUAAAUCACCAUGAAGAAAAGCAUUCUUUACACCCAUCUUCUCAACCUCUAAAUCUUGACUCGCGGCUAAGCCUAGAACCAUACGAAUAGAAGACAUUUUCACAACAGGGGAGAAAAUUUCAUCAAAGUCAACUCCUUUCUUCUGGCCAAAACCUUUAACAACUAACCUCGCCUUGUACCUAGGUGCAGAGGUAUGGUUAUCUUACUUUAUUCUGAAUAUCCAUUUGUUAGAUAAAGCUCUCUUACUAAUAUGUGCCAUUCUUAUGGAGUGACUUCAUCUCAUCUUCCAUGGCUUCUAUCCACUGAUCUUUGUGAGUAUCUUGCAUGGCUUCAUCAUAGCUCUCAGGUUCUCCCAUAUUAGUCAAAAGAACAUACUCAUAGAGGAUAGCGCAUGGAUUUUUGCUUCUCCUUUGUAGAUCUUCUAAGAGAGGUUUUAAGAGCAUUCGAAGUAGUUACCUGAGGAGAAAUUGGUUGCUGAUCAACCAUAACUUCAUCAACUGGAGCAUCCAUAACAUCUACACUAUGAUGAUCAUUUUGAUCUUGAUCACUAUCUUCAUUCUUGUCUUGGGUUCCUUCAUGUGUAAUAGGUGCCUUAGCAAUAGAAACUGGAUGAAUAUCAACUAAGCUCUCAUUACUCUGAGAAUCUAUCUUCUCAGCUUUGUCAAUAUCUUCAAUAGUCUGGUCUUCAAAGAAUAUUGCAUCAUGACUUCUAAUAAGUUUAUUAUCAACAGGAUCAUAAAAACGAUACCCAAACUCAUCUUGACUAUAACCGAUAAAAUACUGCUUAGUUUUGACAUCCAGUUCCAUCUCUCAUCUUUAGGAACAUGCACACAAGCUUUACACCCAAAACUCUCAGGUGAUCAUAAGAAACAUCUUUGGGAAAGCACACUCUGUCUGGGACAUCACCAUCCAAAACAACAGCAGGAGACAAAUUGAUAACAUAAGCAACAGUAUUAAGUACUUCCGUCCAAAAUGUAUUUGGAUGUUUAACCUCUAAAAACAAACAUCUAACACUCUCAACUAGAGUUCUAUUCAUCCUCUCUUCUAAACCAAUCAAUUGAGGCGUCUUGGCCGGAGUUUUCUGAUGAUGAAUUCCUUGUUCUUUGCAAUAGUUAUAAAAGGGACCACAAUAUUCACCACCAUUGUCAGUGCGAAUGCAUUUUAAUUUUUUCCCCGUCUGUCUCUCAGCUAAGUCCUGAAAUUCCUUAAACACGCCGAGUGUUUGAUAUUUGGAUUUUAAAGGAUACACCCAGAGCUUGGGAGAAUGAUCAUCAAUGAAGGUCACAAAAUAAAGUGUACCACCUUUUGACUUUACUUUAAAAGGACCACACAAAUCAGAGUGUACUAGCUCCAAUAAUUUGGGCUUUCUUGAAAGAGGAUGGCUAUGAAAGGAAACCUUUUUCUUUUUGCCAGCUAGACAAUGGAUACACCUUUUUAGCUUUGCUUAUUUCACUCCAGAAAGCAAAUUUUUCUUAGCCAAACAGGUAAUCCCCCUCUCCCUCAUAUGACUCAUUCUUCUGUGCCAUAAUUCUGAUAAAGUGUCAGUUUUCACCAGAUUUAUGGAGUCAUUAAGAAUAGAGCCCUGUGUCACAUAUAAAUGAGAAGACUUGACUCCUCGAGCCACUACUAAUGAGCCCUUGGUGAGCUUCCAUUGGCCAUUAAAGAGGGCAUUAUGGUAACCUUCAUCGUCUAAUCUUCUUGCGAAAAUCAAAUUGAAAGGAAAGUCUGGAGCAUGCUUGACAUUUUGAAGAACUAACAUUGAACCAUUAUUAGUUUUCAAACAAAUCGUGCCAACACCAAAUACCUUAGCUUCACCGUCAUUGCCCAUCUUUAACACUUGUCACACCUACUUUUUCCCGAGAGGAUAAGGAAUUUUUUUAAUUAAAGUGACAUUGUUCGAAAUGGGAUUAUUUAUUUGAUUUUAAGAGUCGCCACUUGGGAUAAUUAUUAUGGUGUCCCAAGUCACCAGUUUAUUUUAAAAUCCCAAAUUGAGGAAAUUGACUCUAUUUAUGGUCUGCGAAAAUAGAAGACCGGGUAAGAAAUUUUGUUAACCCGAGAGAAGGUGUGAGGUACUCCCGAAUUUCGUAAUUUUAGCACGGUCGCUUUAAUCAUACCUGGCUUAGUUGUUUGUUUAAUUAUUCAAUUUUAGAACCUAUGUACGUUUACCUUUUUACCGCUUUUAAUUAUGGCGUUAUGGAAUUAAUUUUGGAAACCGGUCACGUAUGUAUGAAUCCGUUUUAUUUAGGGUACUUAAAAUCAUGUCACGCGUACGUGUACACAAUUAAUCACGCUUUAUUAUUAUUAUGAUUGUUUCGACCAAAGUUGCGCGAACGCAUACCUUGGUUUUAAUUUUGAAAAUCGUAGUUAUGUCACGCGAACGUAUACAUAAUAAUGAUAAUUUGAUUAAUUAAUAGCGUGCCUAAAGCAUACUAUCGCGUUCAAUGUAGCUACUAAACAUAUAUCCCAAAGACACUUUUUAAUUCUUGUUGAACUCAUCCACCCAAAUACUGGUCAAAUCAGUUUCGUUAUUUUAAUGGGUCAAUACAGCAAGACAAACCCAAGCCUCUAUUCGCUCCCUUUAGUCCUAACUCUACAGACCCAAUUUACCCAAUUCAGUAAUUUAUAUUAAACCCCCACUAUCUUACCUAAAUGAUGAACAAUAGGCAAUAAUUAAGCAUUUAAACUAAACUAAAUAAAAGGAAAACUACAACGAAGCAAAUACAAACAAAAACCAUAUUAAUCACUAAACAUAAAUUAAAAUGAAAGCUAAGGCAUGAUAAAAUGACAAAGCAUCUAGAAUAAAGUAGCGGAUCACAUCCCUCAAUCCAAAGGAGAAGGAACAUAGCGAAUAAGAACCGUCAAGUUUUGAGGCAGCAACAUAUUCUUGGACUCCUUUUGGUUUCUGUUGGACUAAGGAACGGAUUUGGGUCCAUGGUGUAAUGAUUUUUUGGCAAAGGCUGAAUAAGGGUUUAUAAGGGGUAGUUCAGUGGAAGAUACGUUUUGUUCGUCGGGUAGGAUGUCUACUUCAUAGAGGUAAUCAUAUUUUUUGAAUAAGGUUUUAUAUAUAGUAGGAGACAUAUUCAUUUUUGCAAGGGAAGAGAAUGAUGGAAAUGACUCAGACAUAUUUAGUAAACUGUUCCUCCCUUCGAAAGGAUGGGCUGGCUCUGAUACCAGUAUAGUGAACAGAGCAAGAGACUCCAAGAAAGCAAACUAUAUUAUAAAUACGAAAGUUUUCCUACAAUAAGGGUUGGCUAUUGCCAAGCUACACUAACAAUUAAUUUGCUUAUAGUCACGAAAGUUUUCCUACAAAGGGGCUGGCUUCAAAACCCAUAAGAGACGACUUGCCAAGCUACAUAACGCAGAAAACUUUUGUACUAUAACUAACUUUAGCUGUUAUAACUCAGAAAACUUUCGUACUAUAAUAAGCUAACUUUCUUAGAGUAUUCUUACUCUAUUUUCAUACAUGGACCGGCCUUUCCAUCCAUUCGAAAGAAAGAACAAGAGGGAGAUUUAGAAGGAACUCAUAUGUAAUAUAUCACAAAGGUUACAAGAUGAUCUUACAACUACUACAUGGCCUCCUUUAUAUAGUACUAGGAGGUUAUUACAAGACAAACUUAUAUUAUAAAAUAAACCUAUCUUACAUGGCAAACCUAUCUACGAGUGGGUCCCUUUGUACAUGUGAAGGACCUUAGGCAAAGCAACUAAAAAGCUUCUGAAAACAUGUGAAAGAGGUAAAAUAUACAUGGUUUAGCAUGUGAAAGUUUGUGGGAGCAUGUGAAAGCGUGUGAAAAUAGGGUGCUGCAUGUGAUGAAGCAUGUGGAGGCAUGUGGAAGCAUGUGAAAGUGGGACCCUGAUAGUUUGGAAGGAUGUGAAAUUUUGUCUUGGCAUGGGUAGAUGAUUUUUUAGGGUUUUUUGAUAGAUAAUGUGGGAUUAUGGUGGGAUUAGCAGGGAUUUGGAUAAUUAUCUUCCACUGAUUUUAUCGCUUUGUCUUCUAGGCAUCUUUUCAAAGAUCUUGUGUAGUAAUGCCUGGAACUUGACGGUUCAUCUUCGCUAUGUUCCUUCUCCUUUGGAUUGAGGGAUGUGAUCCGCAACCUUAUUUUGGAGAUAUCUUGAGUGAUCUUUUCCCGGAUGACUUCAUACGGAGUUUGAUAUUCCUUUGCUGCUUCUCGGACUUUUUCCUAGUGAGGAUGAGUGCUGGUAUAAUUCCAGCUUGCCCAAUCUUUUGGCCAUAUCUCUUUCGGGAUGCACCUAUUUUGCUGGCAGAUAAUUCUUUGGGCUUUACUAUAUUCUUCUUCCAUUGAUAAAAUGGACACGGAAAAUUUCCACCAGAAUGACGCCUCUGCUUGUGCCUGGACUUUUCCAUUAAUAAUCUUAACUGGCCUAUAAAACAUGAAUACCUUUGCUUUGUAGGAAUCGUUGAAAUAUUUUAUCCAAUAUCUUCUAGGCUUGAACCAUAGUAAAAAUACUUUAAGAGCUGGUUCAAUGUUGUCAAAAUCUUUGAAGACGUUGCACUUAAAUUCCAUGAAAAUGUAGUACUGAUGGCAUAGGUACCAGAAAAACCACAAUAGUUCUUGUGGAAAAUUCUUGACUUGUGCUAUGAAUAUAUUGCAGAACGGGUAUUCUGGAUUGAUCCCAUAAGGCUUGAGAAUGGAUCCUCCAUGUUGCCGGAAAACUUGGAACUCAUAAUAAGUUCUUUUUUCCAUUAUAAUUGACGGAUCAAAGGGAUCCAUGAGGUUGAACAACUCCGGUGGCCGUUUGCUUUAAUGAACUUGUUCCUAAUACAUUUGAAAGCAUGGAGAUGUGGCUGAUUAGAUUUUGCUUUGACUUCAGUUUUGCUAGGGAAAAUCUCUUUGAGAAUUCUUCCGGUCGAGACAGAAAAUCUGCAAAAAUAUUAUCCUUUCCUUUCAUGUGCUUUACUUGAAACUUAUAUUGAGAGAACCAUUGGGCCCAUAUGAGAAUCUGAGAAUUGGGAAUAAUCUUUGCAUUUAUUUGGAUCAUUUUUGGGAAGGCCUUCAUAUCCAUUUCUAUCAGAAAUUCUAUGUGAAUUAGGAAAAAAUUGAAUUUUUUGAUUCCAUUUUUACUGCAAGAAUUUCCUUGAAGGUGGAGUGAUAAUGUUGCUCGGCAUCUUUGAACUUUCCGCUGGCAUAUCCGCAUAUUCUCCUCUGGCCAUCUUUUUCUUCAAAUAGAACAACACUCUAAUAUUCGUUGCUCGCAUCAGUUUGCAGUAUUUUCUUACCUUCUGAAGGGAUGUAGAGGGACUUGACAUUUUUAGAUAUCUCCUUUAUUUCCCUCACUUCUUCAUCUUGUUUCUUUCCCCAUGAUGGAGCAUUUUUCUUGAGCAUCUCUGUGAGUGGAGAAAUGUAUGUAGAGAUAUUUGUGAUGAAAUCUCUUACAUAAGUUAAUACACCCAAGAAUUGUUGGAUUUGCUUUGUUGCGAGACUGGUAUCUGGAAAUUUGAGUAGUUCUUGACAUAUAUGUGGCCCAGGACUGUAUGUACUUUGGACAAAAUGCAUUUCAAGAAAAUCAAUCUCUUUUUGGGCAAGAACCAUCUUUUUUACUGAAAGCAUGAUUCCAUAGUGUGUUAUCAGUGCUUCAAACUAAUGAAGCAAGUUGACAUGUUCCUCCAAUGUGUCACUAAAUAACAGGAUAUCAUCAAUGUAAACUAAAGAGGUAUGGAGGAUGGGUUGGAAUACUUUUAUCAUGGCUUUUUGGAACAAAGAGGGUGCAAUUUUUAAUACGAAAGGCAUGACUUUCCAUUGGAAGUGAUGACCAGGGAUGCAAAAUCCCGUUUUGGGUAAUAUUCUCCAUCAACCCAAAAGUCCACACAACCACAAAUAUUCAUGUUGAGCCCUUCAAGUUCCAGUCAUACUCAAGAUUUUCCUUCACUUCAACCUUUUGAAAAAGAGGGUAUCAACCAUGCUCCAAAAAUUCCCAAGAAAAACAUAGUACUACCUUCUGGAGAAAAACUCCCAACAAGUGACAUCGAAGCAACAAUGAACUGGCAAUCAUAAAAUUCCAUCUGCCAAAACAUAGUCCUCAACAAUAUUGGCAAUACCAUCAAAAAUGUGGCCCACACACAAAACAAGAUGAUGAGCAAAGUGGAAACAAUUGAGAAAAAGGUAGAGCAGACAUCGUCUCACCAUGCAGGACUAAUCAAAGCCUUGGAGCUAAGAUUGACAAAUUUACAAUAUGAGAUUUGUCCGCCAGGAACUUCACUUUUCCAGUUCUUUCAAUAACAACAAAAGGAGAUGAUUUCAAUCAAGGAAAAAAUUAAACUUUUGAGAAAUGACCGCUUUGAGUCACAAAAAAUCCCACUUUUCCCUUCAAAAUCUACCUUCUACCCCAUGUCAACACAAGCAUAUUCCCCACCAAAAUUGGACUACACCUUUUCUACUUUUCCUACUACCUCACAAAAUCCUAUCUCAUUCACCCAACCCUUAAAAGAAGAACCUGAAUUCGAUAUUGAAAAAAUGGGUUGGGAAAGGAAAGAUGCUCUUGCAGCCCAGAAACAAACCAAGAAAAGGCGAUAUCAAGGCGAAAGUUCAAAAGGGUCCAACCCCGAAAAUCUGAUGAUUUCUGAUCAGAAGACUCCAGACCUCUAUGUCUUCCAGCCAAGGAACAUGUCAGAAGGAGACACCAUAUGGUCGGAAUCUCUAAAUCAUCAGACGAUGAUACAAUGGAAGAUAGCUGUCAAUCAAGCAAUGAAUCCACAACAAACUCUUCCGAAGAAGUCGAUCCCCUAAUAUUUGUGAGCCAACCACGAGACCCAGAAAUAUCUGAAGUAGAGGAGGAUCAAGAAGGCAUGACAGAUGAAUCAAUUCCAGAAAGAAGACAUGAACCCAUGGCGUCAAAACCAGUUGGAACUGGCUUCCACACUUUCACCUUAGAUGACGUCAAGAUUUCAAAAUGGCCUCAAAGGAUCCAAGACUUCUAUACUUGGAUGGUGACCAAAUAUUUUGUUGAACGAGAAAAGUAUAUCAUCCUAUCAGAACUAACUUUGCGGUUCUCAGGAAUCCUUAGAGACUGGUGGAACUCAAUUGGGAUUCAAGAUAAAAAUACUUUUCUUACUUCACAGGAUUUUGCCUUCAACAUCAGAGUCCUACAUGAAGUUUUUUGCGGAGAUACUGGCCAAAUACAAGAAAAUAUGAAGACAACUCUUCGAAAUGAUGUGUGUGUCAUUCAACAAAAAUGACAUUGAUAGACAUUUUCAAAAAAUGGCAAAAAUAUACUUUGAAAUCGGUGGAGACAUCAACUUAAAGCAAGACUUUGUCUCUUCCCUUCCAAAGUUGUUAGCAAGUCGAACCAUAACCAUCAUUGAAGAAAAGUUUCAAUCGAUUACAAUCCCACAAGUCGGCUACAUCAGGCAAGCUAUUUUCGUCGCAUUAGAAGACAUUUGUACAAAGCGCUCAGCCCUAAAACAAAUUAUCCAACACAAUCCAACGCUUGACAAAGCAUGCCACAGAUCCGAUCUGAUCACCGGGUCAGGAUGUUCUUGCUACACAUCUAGGCGGCGGAAAGAAUACAUGAGGUUUAGAUGGCCAAGAAUUCCAAAUGAAAAAUCAAGGUCCAAGAGGCGUACAAAAUAUUUCAGACGAAGAAGACCAGGAAAUUUCCACCAGAAUGACGCCUCUGCUUAUGCCUGGACUUAUUAUAAUGGAAGAAUUCUCAAAGAGAUUUUCCCCUACAAAACUGAAGUCAAGGCAAAAUCUAAUCAACCACAUCUUCAUGCUUUCAAAUGUAUUAGGAACAAGUUCAUUAAAGCCAACGGAUCAUCCACCGGCACAAGCAGAUACUUCAUUCUGGUGGAAAUUUCCUGGUCUUCUUCAUCUGAAAUAUUUUGUACGCCUCUUGGACCUUGAUUUUUCUUCUAGAAUUCNNNNNNNNNNNNNNNNNNNNNNNNNNNNNNNNNNNNNNNNNNNNNNNNNNNNNNNNNNNNNNNNNNNNNNNNNNNNNNNNNNNNNNNNNNNNNNNNNNNNNNNNNNNNNNNNNNNNNNNNNNNNNNNNNNNNNNNNNNNNNNNNNNNNNNNNNNNNNNNNNNNNNNNNNNNNNNNNNNNNNNNNNNNNNNNNNNNNNNNNNNNNNNNNNNNNNNNNNNNNNNNNNNNNNNNNNNNNNNNNNNNNNNNNNNNNNNNNNNNNNNNNNNNNNNNNNNNNNNNNNNNNNNNNNNNNNNNNNNNNNNNNNNNNNNNNNNNNNNNNNNNNNNNNNNNNNNNNNNNNNNNNNNNNNNNNNNNNNNNNNNNNNNNNNNNNNNNNNNNNNNNNNNNNNNNNNNNNNNNNNNNNNNNNNNNNNNNNNNNNNNNNNNNNNNNNNNNNNNNNNNNNNNNNNNNNNNNNNNNNNNNNNNNNNNNNNNNNNNNNNNNNNNNNNNNNNNNNNNNNNNNNNNNNNNNNNNNNNNAAAUGUCUUCUAAUGCGACAAAAAUAGCUUGCCUGAUGUAGCCGACUUGUGGGAUUGUUAUCGAUUGAAACUUUUCUUCAAUGAUGGUCAUGGUUCUGCUUGCUAACAACUUUGGAAGGGAAGAGACAAAGGCUUGCUUUAAGUUGAUGUCUCCACCGAUUUCAAAGUAUAUUUUUGCCAUUUUUUAAAAAUGUCUGUCAAUGUCAUUUCUGUCGAAUGACACACUCUUCAUCUCGAAGUGUUGUCUUCACAUUUUCUCUUGUCUUUGGCUAGUAUCUCCACAAAAAACUUCAUGUAGGACUCUGAUGUUGAAGGCAAAAUCCUGUGAAGUAAGAAAAGUAUUUUUGUCUUGAAUCCCAAUUGAGUUCCACCAGUCUCUAAGGAUUCCUGAGAACCGCGAAGUUAGUUCUGACAGGGUGAUAUACUUUUCUCGUUCAACCAAACUUUUGGUCACCAUCCAAGUAUAGAAGUCUUGGAUCCUUUGAGGCUAUUUUGAAAUCUUGACGUCAUUGAAGGUGAAAGUGUGGAAUCCAGUUCCAACUAGUUUUGACGCCAUGGGUUCAUGUCUUCUUUCUGGGAUUGGUUCAUCCGUCAUGACUUCUUGAUCCUCCUCUACUUCAGAUAUUUCUGGGUCUCGUUGUUGGCUCACAAAUAUUGGGGGAUCGACUUCUUCGGAAGAGUUUGUUGUGGAUUCAUUGCUUGAUUGAGAGCUAUCUUUCAUUGUAUCAUCGUCUGAUGAAUUUAGAGAUUUCAACCAUGUUUUGUCUCCUUCUGACAUGUUCCAUGGCUGGGAGACAUAAAGGUCUGGAGUCUUCUGAUCAGAAAUCAUCAGAUUUUUGGGGUUGGAUCCUUUUGAACUUUCACCUUGAUAUCGCCUUUUCUUGGUUUGUUUCUGGGCUGCAAGAGCAUCUUUCCUUUCCUAACCCAUUUUUUCAAUAUCGAAUUCAGGUUCUUGUUUUAAGGGUUGGGUGAAUGAGAUAGGAUUCUGUGAGGUAGUAGGAAAAGUAGAAAAGGUGUAGUCCAAUUUUGGUGGGGAAUAUGCUUGUGCUGACAUGGGGUAGAAGGUAGAUUUUGAAGGGAAAAGUGGGGUUUUUUUGUGACUCAAAGCAGUCAUUUCUCAAAAGUUUAAUUUGUUCCUUAAUUGAAUCGUCUCCUUUUGUUGUUGUUGGAAGAACUGGAAAAGUGAAGUUCCUCAGAGACAGAUCUCAUAUUGUAAAUGUGCCAAUCUUAGCUCCAAGGCUUUGAUUAGACCUGCAUGGUGAGUAGAUGUCUGCUCCACCUUUUUUUAAUUGUUUCCACUUUGCUCAUCAUCUUGUUUUAUGUGUGGGUCACAUUUUUAUGGUAUUGUCAAUAUUGUUGAGGACUUUGUUUUGGCAGAUGGAAUUUUUUGAUUGCUAGUUCAUUGUUGCUUCGAUGUCACUUAUUGGGGGAUUUUCUCCAGAAGGUAGUACUAUGUUUUUCUUGGGGAUUUUUGGAGCAUGGAUGAUACCCUCUUUUUCAAAAAGUUGAAGUGAAGGAAAAUCUUAGGUAUGACUGGAACUUAAAGGGAUCAACAUGAAUAUUUGUGGUUGUAUGGACUUUUGGGUUGAUGGAGUUUUAGGUUCAGGUGGCUUUUCGGGUUCUGGGUUACUAGCUGAUGGUGGUUUGGGUUUUGGUGUGGUUUCACUAUCUUCCCAGCUUGGAGUGAAUUUUUCUGAUAAUUUUGGCCAUUCUUAGGGUGUGUAACUGACAAGAAAUUCAUAUUUACCUGGACGGCUUAAUGAGCCAAUUGAAGGGUCUUUAUUUUCAUAUUUGGCUCGAAAUUGCUUUUCAGAAGUUUUCCCCUUUUUCUUGGAUUUUGGUUUGGUCUCGUUGAGACCAAAUAUUUCCCAAUGAUGCAGGUAGUAUUCAUCAUAUUCUCCAAUUGGAUCUUCCAAACAGUCUUGGCAGUCGCAACCGAGAUCCCAAGGGCAAUGUCCCGUAAAGGGGCAUUUGAACCACCAAACUCAUUUGCCGUCUUUGUCGAAAUGUUUACACCAGUCAUGUUCUUCCAUGAUAGUUUUUAUAUUCCAGAAAGGUUCCCUUUUAGGGUCAGGGUCAGAGUUUGUGUCUUUGGGUUGGAUCAUUUGGCAAGAAAAGCUGGUUUUAUUGGGUUUUUUGAGAUAGGAAUGGUCAAAGGUUAUGAAAACGAUUUUGUCAUUUCUUUUGGUAAAAGUUGGCUCACCAGAUUGCAGAGAUUUUUCUGGUUCUCUUAGCUUUUCAUAAUUUGUGAUCCAGGAAUGAGGAAGAAUUUUAACUAGUUCAUCUCUGGAAAUUUGUCUGGGUAUUUGGGUGCACAUGGUAUUUCCUUUGGUAGCAUCAAUAUUCAAGAGUAAAGUAUUUUUUCCUCCGGGAAGGCAGAGAUCCAUGGCAUGAUUUUGGACCCGCCACGCCAUUUGGUGAUGAAUAGUGGCUUGGAUAGAAUCUUUGGCUUGUAGGGCACCUUGGAUUUGGACUUGGAUUUUGAGUGCUUCGGUUAAGUAUGGGUCAUAAAGGGACAUGUUGAAAUUUGGAAAGAUAGUUAUGAAGACAGUUCCUGCAUUCAAGGUAACUUCUGCAGUACCCAAAUUUGCAUGUUGGUACUCUAAGUAUCUUGUAUCUAGAAGAGAAAGUCUAGCAAUAAUAGGUUGACCUUUUCUUCCAUGAUAAGUCAGAGCAAUUCGGAUAGCACCAAAAUGGAGAUGGGUAAAACUAUGAUCUCUCCAUUGUCUGGGAAAAUCAUCUGGAAUUUGGAGGGUAAUAAAUUGUUCCUCUCGAGUGGCAAGAAUAGGAUGCUGGUCAAGUUUUGAGGCAACAACAUAUUCUUUGACUCCUUUUGGUUUCUGUUGGACUAAGGAACAGAUUUGGGUCCAUGAUGUAAAUGAUUUUUUGGCAAAGGCUGAGUAAGGGUUUAUAAGGGGUAGUUCAGUGGAAGAUACUUUUUGUUCGUCGGGUAGGAUGUCUACAUCAUAGAGGUAAUCAUACUUUUUGGACAAGAUUUUAUAUAUAGUAGGAGACAUAUUAAUUUUUGCAAGGGAAGAGGAUGAUAGAAAUGACUCAGACAUAUUUAGUAAACUGUUCCUCCCUCCGAAAGGAUGGGCUGGCUCUGAUACCGGUAUAGUGAACAGAGCAAGAGACUCCAAGAAAGUAAACUAUAUCAUAAAUACGAAAUUUUUCCUACAAUAAGGGCUGGCUAUUUCCAAGCUACACUAACAGUUAAUUUGCUUAUAGUCACAAAAGUUUUCCUACAAAGGGGUUGGCUUCACAAUCCAUAAGGGACGACUAAGAUUUAAAAAUAAACAGUGAGAACAAUGAAAGGAUAUAUAUGGACCUUAAGAUGUUGCUCUGAAUUUUAAUUACUUUACAGCGUCAAAAUCAAACGAAGGCCAAACCGCGGACAACGACCGAAAACCUCGACUUUUCUCUCAACCCAGAAAAGUUGCGUAUUUGUCAUUCUAUUUUUAUGUGCUUCGAUGGUGUUUCAUGGUGGUUGUGAGCUGAUUUUAGAGUGGUUUUCAUGGCUAAAUGUUGCUGGAUUUUUGACUGGUUUUGGUCCAAGAGAGAGGUGGCUAACGGUGGAGUUUUACAUGACGGUUUGGUGGGCUUUCAGACUGAUUUUUCAGCUGUUCAUUGGAGGAAAAAGAGCUGGUUGGAGGAGGUGUAAUUACGACAGAGGGAAGGCUAUUUCUAGGGUGUUUCAAGGACUGUUUGGGGUGAGUUUUCUAAGCUGAAAUGGUGGUGAAGAAGGGGGGUGGGCCGCUGCCUUUGGUUGUAAAAGAGGGAGGGGUCUCUCUCUCUCAAAUAUUGCCCCCCUUUUGUGGGUUGUGUGAGUGGAAGAUAUAUAGGUGUAGGUAUAGGGAUUAAUUGGCGGCCAAGAAAAAGAGUGUGUAUAUGCAUAUGAGUUUUGAGGGAGAGCAUGUGAGUUAGUUAUAAAAGAUAAGGAAGAAUCAUGCCACAUGGAAAUGACUCAUUGGCUCUUGCUUUAAUUAAUAUUUUUCUUUUCUUUUAAGAGUGUAAAAAUAAAACUACUAGCUAAAUAUUUUAAAAUCAAGAACAUAUAAUUUUUUUGUGAUUUUUAAUUUUCUUAAAUAAAACCUAUAAAGGUGAAAUAAAGCUAAAAUAUCAAGAUUAAACUUAAAAGAUAUUUAAAUGCUAAAAAGUGAUGAAAAGAGUUAAAUAUGGUCAAAAAUUAGGUGCUCACAGCAUGCCCCUCUUUGCGUGGAAACAUGAAGAGUUUUCAGGCAAAGACAAGGUGAGCCAUGUGACUAAUUGUUGACCAAACCAUUUUUUAAAGGGAAACGAAAUAAAAGAAAAGAGUGCAAGAGUGCAACCAAGUCCUGAUUUUGGACAACCUACAUAUCCCGGGUUAUAAGGGAAUCAUGUCGCGUGUAGUUCAAGGAGAAUGAUGG
rnacentral:lncRNA from 1 species